ACUUCCGUAGCUCAGCGGAAUAGAGCAUCCCACUUCUAAUGGGACGGUCGCAGGUUCGAUUCCUGCCGGAAGUA
rnacentral:tRNA from 1 species